GCUCCCACCUUUAUGAAAAUGGACUGAACCUCUGAACCUUUGUCCCAUGGUGGGUGAUGACUGAAUAGUCAGUGGUACUCCUGCUCUAAACUAUGACUGCUACGUUCAAGUCUCCUGAGAGCAUGACAUGGAUCCAGAACACCUGUUUGAAACCAUGCUGAAUGCACGCUGUGGACAUAAUGCAUAAAAUACACAUGCUUUUUUGCCGCACCUGACAAUCUUGAUCUUUCUACAUAAUU
rnacentral:sRNA from 1 species